UUACAUUUUAAUAUUUUCAACGAUUUACGAAAUUGAAAAUGAUUUUAGAAUUUUAAGUUAAAACGAAUUCGAAUUACGAAAACACGGUCGAUUGAAUUUAGAAAACAAUCCUAAUCAUUUUGGAUUCAAACAACCUUAAAUCCUACUCCUAGCCCAAUUGGGAAAAGCCCAAACCAAAAACAAAAAUUAAACCCAAACCAAUACUCCCUCUCUCUUUUCAAAUUCACGUGGAAACAAGGCAAACCAAAACCCCUCCAUCCUCCUUCAACCUCACGCACAACACCAGCAACUCCUCUCCUCUCCCUUGUCAGCCGCCGCACCACGCUCACUGCCGGACCACCACCUGCACCGACGACCACCGUCGACCCUCGUGUCAUCGCCGCCACGUUGCCGCCCAGCCUGCGUCGCUGCGCCGCCGCGUUCCUGGCCCACACCGACCAAUCCACCUCCGGUCGCAGCCACCUCGCCUAGCCGCGCCACCCAGUCCGCCGGCCAGCACUCCCCUCUCCCUCUUGAAUUGGUUAUUUCUUAAACCCUAAGUAACUAAUUAUUUUAAUUAAUUAUAAUUGUUAAUUUAAAUUAUGUUCUUGAUAAUAAAUUUAUAAUUUUUAUGGUUUGAACAUGAUUUUCAGAUUUGGGUUGAGAUUAUAAACGAAUUAAUUUUCAGUUUUUGUGAUUUAAAUUAUAAAUUUGAGAUUAUAUGGAUUUUAUAAUAAAGUUAUUAAUUUUCAGAUUAUCUAAUUACAUUGAAAUAUUGAUUUUUGAUUAUUUAAAGUAUGAAAUUCAAGGUUUUUAUGAUUAUUAAUCAUGAUGGGUUGAGUAUGGAUCAUUGAAUUGGUUAUGUUGAGAUACUAGGAACGUAGAUUGACCAUGGUGAAGCUUUUAAAUGAAAUUAUAUUGCUGAAAAUUUAAAGUACGAUGUUUGCAAAAGUUUUCAACGAAUUUCAAUCACUAAUUCAAUAAUCAUGAUUCUAGGAAAUCAAAUGUUUAAGUUUUGAUAUUGGGGAAAGUUCUAAAUAUGUUUAGGAUGCAUUUAGAAUGCUUUCUUAUGGUUGUCAAUGAUUAGGAAUUUAUUGGGAUUAUUUGUUGGUUGUUUUAGGCGGAGAAUUCUCUUUAGGCGACUUUUGAAAGUGUUAAAGUGGCCUAUCAGUUUGUUUACACAAGUCUCUAAGGAUCAAUAAGCGUUGCCCAUCUACAGGUUUGAAGAUGAUGCAUCAUUGGGAUCGGGAUUAGAGAGCUUGUAGUUCUAUUCGUUUAAUUAAGUGAUUUAAUUUGUUAACUUGGAUUGAAAUUUGUCGUACUAUUCGUAUUUCUUUAAUUCAGUUAAUUGGUUUGGACCUAAUAUGUAAUAGAUUAUUUAUGAACCUAAAA